rnacentral:lncRNA from 1 species
GGCCUCCGGAACUAGGAGGCUUUCCUUCUGAUCACGCCACUGUGUAAUUUUGUGGCUAGCUUUCCAGUCAUUUCCCUUUCCUUUAAACUUAAAACCAGUAUCCAAAUAACCAACAAGACAAGACUUAAAAAAACAAAAACAAAGACAAAAAACAUAAAGCUGAACUGAGAAAAGGAAGUAAGGAUUCUUUUUCUUUUCUUAUUUCCUUUUUCUGUCCAAUUAAUAGGCCAUCUAUAAUACUAGCGAAAAGAACCUGCUUCUGUGACAAUUGUGCCUGCCUGCCUUGGAAGAGGGGCAUUUUAUUUGGAAAAUGGACGUCUUUUCUGAGUCCUUAAGUGUUGCUGGGAGGAAGGGAGCCUGAGCUUCCCUUUCAGCUAUGUUUUCUCAAGCGUGGUCCACUCUGUGUCCUGAACGUUGCUGUGCUCUGAGAAGUGGCUGGAAAAAGGCAUUCAGCAGGAAAGCUGAACAAUCAUGGAACAGCCAGGGUGUCCAUUUCACACAAGGAAACACUGGGAAAGUUCUCAACUUCAUAAACCUAAGUGGAGGAAUAAUGUGUCCUGCUGUCCCCUCCCUCCUCCCUCUCUCCCUCCCUCCCUCCCCUCCUAUCCCCUCCUCCCCUUCCCCUGUGUCCUGGCCUUUAUCUUUCAAACACUUAGAGGUUAAAACCUUGGAAGUUCUGCCAAGCCACUCACAGUCGAUGGUGUGGUUUUGAUAAACCGUUUCUUCUGUCUGUGGUAUAAAUGGGAAAAAUAGAGGGUCUGUCAUGUGCUGAUUCCACAUUUGGACAUGAAAUGUAUAGCUCUCUCCCACAAUGGAAAAUGAGCUCCCUGUAACCAGUUAACAGAUGUUAAGGUUAGGAGCAGGGUCUCUCCCUCCACCCCUCUUUGUGCCUCUAGCUCCAUUUGUGCCCCCGGUGUGAAGCCUGAAGCAGCUGCAGGGCAUGAGCCAGGCCUGCUCUGGGCCUUCGCUUUCUUUGUGCGGAGGAUGAACAGGCAAUGUUAUUUUCGAUUACAUAGCAGCCUGUUCAAAAGCAUCCUGCAUUCCCCAGCUGUUCCACCAAGGCUUUGCAGAAGAGUGAGAACUUGCCAGCUGCUGGGCCACCAACGUUCCACUUACUGCUUUUGUCCAGGGGAGGCUAAAAUCCGGGAACUGUUGCUAGCAUGGCCUCUUAAACAGUCUUCUGUUUCUGUAGUAUCAGUGAUACUCUGGAUAGAGUGAGCGCAUGUCACUGCAAGACUCAAAGGCAAAUGUCACCUUUUAGCCCCAUUAAAGAUUUUAUUUUUAAAGUGCGCGCGCGCGCACGUGUGUGUGUGUGUGUGUGUGUGUGUGUGUGUGUGUGUGUGUUUUAUGGGUAUGUGCACUUAAGUGCAGGAACCCAAGGAGGCCAGAAGAGGGUAUUAGGUUCCCUGGAAUCUGUUGGGGUAAAUCUUAAAAGUAAAUGUCACAACUUCUUCCUUCUUUCCUUCUUUCCUUCUUUCCUUCCUUCCUUCCUUCCUUCUUUCCUUCCUUCCUUCCUUCCUUCUUUCCUUCCUUCCUUCCUUCCUUCCUUCCUUCCUUCCUUCCUUCUCUUCCAUCAAUGUAACUUUUGGAAGAUUUUAUUUAAUUUUUCAAUUAUGUAUAUAUGUGUGUGUGUGUCUAUGUGGGCAUGUAGGUGCUCCUAGAGGUCAAUAAGGCCAACAGGUCUCCUGGAGCUGGAGUCACAGGGGCUCGUAAGUUCCUCAACAUGGGUUCUGGGAACCAAACUGGAGCCCUCUCCAGGAGCAGUUACACUCGUACCUGCUGAGCUAUCUCUCUAGCCUCUCAAAGGAACUUUAAAGGAUAUAUGUUUUUAUGUAAUUUUUUGGUAUAGUUUUUCUAUACUUAAAACAGUCUUAACUUAUAUUCCAUUGAUUGAUAAAGUGAUAGAUGUGAUAGAUGUAGAUUAGCUAGAUGUAGAUAGAUUAACACUUGUCAUAUCUGGCUUAACUAUAAACAUUGGCCUGGGGCAGUGGUCCUCAACUUUCCGAAUGCUGCAACCCUUUUACAAAAGUUCCUCAUGUUGUGGUGACCCCCAACCAUAAAAUUAUUUUCUUUGCUACUUAAGAUCUAUAGUUUUGCUUGUCUUAUUAAUCAUAAGUAUCUGAUGUGCAGGAUCUCUGAUAGGGGACCCCCCCAAAGGGGUAGAAAUCCACAGGUUGAGAACCUCUCCUUGGAGAGAGCCCUGUGGGAAGAGAAUGUGCUUAACAUACAUUGUAUGUAGUACUCAAAGGAUUGAUAGGCCUAUUAUAUUUUG